ensembl:lncRNA
GAUUUACCAAACAUUAUUUAAUAAAUGAUUUUGCAAUACAAAACAUCUGUGCAAAAAUAUUCAGACAAAAUACAAAGCCAAGGCCUCUCUUGAUCAAUAUGCAUGUAAACCUGUUAUGGGUACACUGGCAUUGAAAUAUACAUAUACUUUUGUUUCUUCUUACCAAUAAAAGACAAAAAAAAAGGCACUAUAAUGAAUUUUUGCCAAAUACAAAAAUACCUAAACUUGAUUAAGAUUCACAGUCUUGUGUACAAGUGGUUUGUGCACUGCUAUAUUAGUACAUAGACUACAUAAAAAAAGAUGACUGUAGCCACAAUGACGGCACCCAAUGGUUGAAACCUUCACUUGAGCAUUUUCACUUUUAUUAUUUUAUUCUAUUAGACUCUGUACACUCAUACGGUAGCCAUGCCUUAUACUAUUCUCUGCCUUAUUAGCAAUUGUCAGUGACAGCAUCCUUAACAAAAUGAGAAACGUCCUGUAUUAAAUAAGGCUUCACUGAUGUCAAAAAUCAAGUGAGAAGUGGACUGGACUGGGGGAGUCGCCCCCUGUUGGCCAUCAGUGCAGACUGCGUUGGCCUUGCUUUUUUAAAUCUGGAAGCAAAGUCCAGCUUAUAUAUACAGUCUAUGUUAGUAUUCGUACAUCAUUUACAUUGCUGGGGCUCAUGGGUAAAGAUGCUUAGGUAGCUCACUCUGCUUUAGAAAAUAGAAUCACAAAAACACACAGAGAGGAAAGGCAUUUGAAAAAUACACUCUCAAAUGAUUUCAAAUAGCAUGGAAACAAGAGCACACCCUUCAUGCUGCUAAUAACAGCCAACCAGCUUCACUACUGACCUCUACUCACUUGAAUGCUGAGGAAAACUAAAGAGCAGUAGGAUUUAUAAAGACAACUGAAUUUGAUUGUGAUGCCAUUUUUGUAGCUACUUUUUUCUUGUUGCUACAUUUCACAUGUGUCCACUUACUUUACAACUCAGAAAUGCACUUUAUUCUCUGCAUGUCCUCAGUAAAAACAACCCGGAUGUGUUAUUG